GAUGAACGCUGGCGGCGUGCUUAACACAUGCAAGUCGAACGGGAAACUUUUCAUUGAAGCUUCGGCAGAUUUGGUCUGUUUCUAGUGGCGGACGGGUGAGUAACGCGUGGGUAACCUGCCUUAUACAGGGGGAUAACAACCAGAAAUGGUUGCUAAUACCGCAUAAGCGCACAGGACCGCAUGGUCCGGUGUGAAAAACUCCGGUGGUAUAAGAUGGACCCGCGUUGGAUUAGCUAGUUGGCAGGGUAACGGCCUACCAAGGCGACGAUCCAUAGCCGGCCUGAGAGGGUGAACGGCCACAUUGGGACUGAGACACGGCCCAGACUCCUACGGGAGGCAGCAGUGGGGAAUAUUGCACAAUGGGGGAAACCCUGACGCAGCGACGCCGCGUGAAGGAAGAAGUAUCUCGGUAUGUAAACUUCUAUCAGCAGGGAAGAUAGUGACGGUACCUGACUAAGAAGCCCCGGCUAACUACGCGCCAGCCGCCGCCGUAA
rnacentral:rRNA from 1 species